ACCCCACUAUUAACCCACAAGGAAAAUUCUAAGCACUACAGCUCCAAAGCUAAAACUUAAAUAACAUGGCGGCGAGCUUAAAUUUCAGAGGAACCUACCAGGUAAAUGAUAGCCCGCAAUUUAUUCUUACUUUACCUAAAAGUUUAUAUAUCGCCGUCUAGUAAUCUUUCGAGAAGGCUACAAAAUGUACUUUUACAAGAAGACAGGUCAUGACAUAGCAUAUGGUAAAGACAUAAGGUGGGUUACAAUAAAAAACUUUUUCAGAAAAGUAUCUAAAGAUAGUGUUUAAGAUGGAUUUGAAAGUAAUAGUUAAUAUAAAUAUGCUUUGAAUAUUUCU
rnacentral:rRNA from 1 species